CAUUCCAGGGCUUCCAU
rnacentral:misc_RNA from 1 species